GUCCUCCAGGGGAAUAUGGUGGAAAAGGUGAGACAACAGCUACAACAACCGGAAUGCAGAUAACUUUGUUUUCUUGUUUGUGCAUAACCAAUUGAGGCUCAGUGCAACCAAAGAGAGAAGAAGACGAAGUGGGAUUGCGAAGAGUAUUGUUGAAGCGUGAGAAAAGGAAUUGGUAGCGAAUUGGCGAGGCUUGAUUGCUGGAACUUUGAACACGAUUCCAAAGCGCUUCAAUUCCUCCAGUGCAGCCAGAUUUGGUGCUCUUUACAGGUGAUUUUGGUGAAGAAAAUCUUGAAGUCGUUUGAAGUGUUGCAAAUGUUGAAUUUGCUAAAGCAGUUAUAUUAGAAAACCAUGACUCCUGGUUUACUAAGAACUUUUCUC